rnacentral:rRNA from 1 species
GAGGCAGCAGUGGGGAAUUUUGGACAAUGGGCGCAAGCCUGAUCCAGCCAUUCCGCGUGAGUGAAGAAGGCCUUCGGGUUGUAAAGCUCUUUCGCAAGGGAAGAAAACUUAACCUCUAACAUAGGUUGAGGCUGACGGUACCUUGAUAAGAAGCACCGGCUAACUACGUGCCAGCAGCCGCGGUAAUACGUAGGGUGCGAGCGUUAAUCGGAAUUACUGGGCGUAAAGCGUGCGCAGGCGGCCUGAUAAGUCAGAUGUGAAAUCCCCGAGCUCAACUUGGGAACUGCGUUUGAAACUAUCAAGCUAGAAUAUGUCAGAGGGGGGUAGAAUUCCACGUGUAGCAGUGAAAUGCGUAGAGAUGUGGAGGAAUACCAAUGGCGAAGGCAGCCCCCUGGGAUAAUAUUGACGCUCAUGCACGAAAGCUGGGGAGCAAACAGGAUUAGAUAC